rnacentral:rRNA from 1 species
GAGCGGGCGUAGCAAUACGUCAGCGGCAGACGGGUGAGUAACGCGUGGGAACGUACCUUUUGGUUCGGAACAACACAGGGAAACUUGUGCUAAUACCGAAUAAGCCCUUACGGGGAAAGAUUUAUCGCCGAAAGAUCGGCCCGCGUCUGAUUAGCUUGUUGGUGAGGUAACGGCUCACCAAGGCGACGAUCAGUAGCUGGUCUGAGAGGAUGAUCAGCCACAUUGGGACUGAGACACGGCCCAAACUCCUACGGGAGGCAGCAGUGGGGAAUAUUGGACAAUGGGCGAAAGCCUGAUCCAGCCAUGCCGCGUGAGUGAUGAAGGCCCUAAGGUUG